GAUGAAGAACGUAGCGAACUGCGAUAAGUAAUGUGAAUUGCAGAAUUCAGUGAAUCAUCGAGUCUUUUAACGCACAUUGCGCCCCCUGGCAUUCCGGGGGGCAUGCCUGUCCGAGCGUCAUUGCUGCCCAUCAAGCCCGGCUUGUGUGUUGGGUCGUCGUCCCCCCCGGGGGACGGGCCCGAAAGGCAGCGGCGGCACCGUGUCCGGUCCUCGAGCGUAUGGGGCUUUGUCACCCGCUCGAUUAGGGCCGGCCGGGCGCCAGCCGACGUCUCCAACCAUUUUUUUCAGGUUGACCUCGGAUCAGGUAGGGAUACCCGCUGAACUUAAGCAUAUCAAUAAGCGGAGGA
rnacentral:misc_RNA from 1 species